CCCGCCGUAGCUUAGUGGCAGAGCACUCGGCUGUAGAAUUUAACCUAUGGUUAAAUUAUUUCAACCGAGGCUCUUACAGCAGAAACCGAGACAGGCUUCUGAAGCCUGCGAGAAGGGUCGCCGGUUCAAAUCCGGUCGGCGGGA
rnacentral:tRNA from 1 species